GCUCAACCGGGGAGGGUCAUUGGAAACUGGGGAACUUGAGUGCAGAAGAGGAGAGUGGAAUUCCACGUGUAGCGGUGAAAUGCGUAGAGAUGUGGAGGAACACCAGUGGCGAAGGCGACUCUCUGGUCUGUAACUGACGCUGAGGCGCGAAAGCGUGGGGAGCGAACAGGAUUAGAUACCCUGGUAGUCCACGCCGUAAACGAUGAGUGCUAAGUGUUAGAGGGUUUCCGCCCUUUAGUGCUGCAGCAAACGCAUUAAGCACUCCGCCUGGGGAGUACGGUCGCAAGACUGAAACUCAAAGGAAUUGACGGGGGCCCGCACAAGCGAUGGAGCAUGUGGUUUAAUUCGAAGCAACGCGAAGAACCUUACCAGGUCUUGACAUCCUCUGACAACCCUAGAGAUAGGGCUUCCCCUUCGGGGGCAGAGUGACAGGUGGUGCAUGGUUGUCGUCAGCUCGUGUCGUGAGAUGUUGGGUUAAGUCCCGCAACGAGCGCAACCCUUGAUCUUAGUUGCCAGCAUUCAGUUGGGCACUCUAAGGUGACUGCCGGUGACAAACCGGAGGAAGGUGGGGAUGACGUCAAAUCAUCAUGCCCCUUAUGACCUGGGCUACACACGUGCUACAAUGGGCAGAACAAAG
rnacentral:rRNA from 1 species